rnacentral:rRNA from 1 species
GACGAACGCUGGCGGCGUGCCUAAUACAUGCAAGUCGAGCGGAGUGCGCUGAUUGCUUGCAAUCAGCUUGCUUAGCGGCGGACGGGUGAGUAACACGUAGGCAACCUGCCUGCAAGACCGGGAUAACAUUCGGAAACGAAUGCUAAUACCGGAUACGCAGUAUCCUCGCAUGGGGAGGCUGGGAAAGACGGCGCAAGCUGUCACUUGCAGAUGGGCCUGCGGUGCAUUAGCUAGUUGGUGGGGUAACGGCUCACCAAGGCGACGAUGCAUAGCCGACCUGAGAGGGUGAUCGGCCACACUGGGACUGAGACACGGCCCAGACUCCUACGGGAGGCAGCAGUAGGGAAUCUUCCGCAAUGGACGAAAGUCUGACGGAGCAACGCCGCGUGAGUGAUGAAGGUUUUCGGAUCGUAAAGCUCUGUUGCCAGGGAAGAACAGCCAGGCGAGUAACUGCGCUUGGAAUGACGGUACCUGAGAAGAAAGCCCCGGCUAACUACGUGCCAGCAGCCGCCGUAAUAC